GGAGGACACGUUGCGAAACAUGCACGCGGAAACUUGCGUGCCCACGUCUCCGGGAUCCAGGGCAGGCUGUCGAUCUCCAACAUGGCGGCGUUAGCUAAGAAGAAGGGGAAUAAGAAGGUGAAGACCCUAUCUCUGACUGACUUCCUUGCUGAUGACAAGGGGGGCAAUGCUCCCACAAGUUACGCUCCCACCAAGCCCGCUAGCAGCUGGGCAGACGAGACCGAUGACCUGGAAACAGAGGUAUCCACCUCCUGGCAUACAGAGGAGGAUAUGUACAGGGCCCCGGCCAUCGACCGCUCCAUCCUGCCCACAGCGCCCCGUUCAGCCCGGGAGCCAAAUGUUGACCGCUCCCGUAUCCCACGUGGUCCCCCUUACACCGCCUUCCUGGGCAACUUGCCCUACGACGUCACUGAGGACUCAAUCAAGGACUUCUUCAGGGGUGUGGGGAUCAGUGCAGUGCGUCUUCCUAGAGAGCCCAGUAACCCAGAGAGGCUGAAGGGUUUUGGCUAUGCUGAGUUUGAUGAUGUGGAAUCCCUCCUGAGUGCCUUGAGUCUAAACGAAGAGAACUUGGGAAAUAGAAGAAUCCGUGUGGACAUUGCAGACCAGUCUAAUGACAAAGGGAGGGAUAAUCACUCCAUGGGUGGCCGGGACAGGGACCGGGGGGGAGACUUUGGCCCAGACAAGACAGACUGUGAUGACUGGAGGGCUCCUCGGCCCAGUGGAGGAGAGAGUGACGACGGGCCGCCUCGGAGAGACGACGCCUUUGGAGACCGGUCACGGGACCGCUAUGAGUCAGACAGGCCCAGAGGAGAUGAUCGCUACGGAGGGGGCCAGGACAGGUUCAGGGAUCGCUAUGAUGACCGGGAUCGCAGAGAUGACAGAGGAGGUGGUUUUGGUGGUGGUGGUGGUCGCAGGGCAUUUGGCACUGGUUACAGGCGCGAUGAGGGAGGACAGGAUAGCUACCGGCAGGAUAGCUACCGGCAGGAUAGCUACCGGUCGGAUAGCUACCGACGGGAUGACUACCGGGUUAGUGGGGAUCGUUAUGGUGACCGUGGUAGUGAUCGAUACGAGAGACGGGAGGAAAGCCGGGAUGACAGAGGUGCUGUCGAGAGGCCCAAGUUGAUCCUGAAGCCCCGUAGCGUACCCAAAGAGGUGGAGCAGAGCAACACCCCGUUUGCCCCCUCAGGAAGGGCUGCCUCCAUCUUCGGCGGGGCUAAGCCAGUGGACACGGCCGCCAAGGAGAGGGAGGUCGAGGAGAGGCUGAAGAGGGAACAGGAGAAACUGCAGCGACAGCUAGAGGACAGGAUCCCAGACCGCAAGCCCAGAGAGAGGCACCCCAGCUGGCGCAGUGAGGACCAACCUGCAGAACGCUCUCGGACGGGCAGCGAGUCUUCCCAACCAGGCAGCCAGUCUGGCAGAGCCUCCAAGCGCAGGGAGAGCGAGCGCUCGGUGGACAGUGGUCGUGAAGAGGAGCCCUCCUCCCCUGUGACCCUGCCCCCUCCCAGACUGGACGGGCAGCCCCUGAAGGUGGUGUUUGCCCCGCCCCCCAAGGAGAACGCCUGGGCCAAGAGGACCACGCCCGUUGGGAGCUCCAGUGAGGGCUCGGCUGGGCAACCUGUCGCCCCCAGCAGUGAAACAGCCCCACAGCUCACAAGGUGGGUGUGUAGCAAUCGAAACGUCUGGCCUGCAUGGACCUCUGUAGGAUUAUUUGAGAAAGUAAGCAAGCACCAAUGAGCUUCAUGAAGACGCCCUCAAAGAUGCCCUCUGGUGGUUUCAACAAGCAUUAACGGCUACAAAGUCUGACAGUGAAAUACUAUGACUCAUGCACUGUAACAUGCUGUACCAUACCGCAGUAUUCUGCAAGCUGUGCUGCAGUAUGAUCCAACUUGUAAAUGAGGACCCACUGUAUGAACAGGGAUUUCCUACCCUGUUUGAUAUUCUAGCAAUGCACCUAACUGAGGAGAGUUUAAUCAACCAUGUUUCAGCAGUACAUUUCUCCAUGGACAUAUUCCAUUGACAUGUGUAUUUUCUUCCCCAGCUCCUCAAGCUUAGCUGAUGAGGCAAAUAAAAAAGAGGUCGAGCUCAGCGAAUAAGUACAGUAUGCAGCCUUGCUAUAAUGGACGCAGACCCACAUGACAAUAUGGAGGACAAUGCAGACAGAGGUGGAAUGAAAGAAGUGAAGAUGUUUGAUGCCAAAAGAGUGAGAUCUCUGCUCUGCACCACAACCUGGCUGGAGCAGCACUACAGCUCCCUUCCUGCUAACCUGCUUCAAUAGAAACCCACCCCACAGUGCUGAUUGGCUGCACCAUCAGGACUGUACCUAAACAUAGAGAAGUAAUGACUGGUUUUAAGUAAAAGAGACUGGAGGUUGAAGUUUUAAUCAUUAUAACAAUUUUGAAAGGUGGGGUUGAGAAAACAUGUAUUGCUACGGGUGUCGUCGCCACCCACCACCAGUCUAAAUGCUGGACUAUGUAAGCUGUCUGAGCUCUGUAAGCCUGGUUAUGCUAAUGAUGGAGCGCCUGUGUCCAAGAGGUACAGACAAGAGUUUUAAUAAAAGAAAACAGACAGUCUCCUUAUUUUAGGGGGCUUUGCUGACAUACCUUAACUUCUUUUUGACUAUGAGGGAAGCAAUGUUUGUGUUCCUCUGAUCAUCAUGUAUAGCAGUCAUUAGCUGCUUCUUUCCAGGGUCUUUCCGUCAAUGGCUUCCUGCUUCCUUCACAGAAAGGAACCGCUUCCUUGUCUCAUCCGGACCUGCCUGGAGGUCAAUGCCAAGGCAACCAUGUCAUGGAAAAUCAUAUGAGCUGUGUGAUAAAUGUUUUGGAGGCAUGCUCUUCACUCACUCUUAUCCAUGUGCCAAGUGUUGACUGGCAUUUAAUGCAGAGGAUGUUUCAGCAUUGUCGUAUGUAACCCCACUAUCACAUGUAACUGAAGGAGAUCUCAUUAAAUGUUUCUGGAUGUU